GUCUCUUCGGAGACACUAAAUAAAAUUGGAACGAUACAGAGAAGAUUAGCAUGACCUCUGUGCAAGGAUGACACACACAAAUCGAGAAAUGGUCAAACUCACA
rnacentral:snRNA from 1 species